rnacentral:rRNA from 1 species
AGAGUUUGAUCCUGGCUCAGAUUGAACGCUGUCGGCAGGCCUAACACAUGCAAGUCGAGCGGUAGAGAGAAGCUUGCUUCUCUUGAGAGCGGCGGACGGGUGAGUAAUGCCUAGGAAUCUGCCUGGUAGUGGGGGAUAACGUUCGGAAACGGACGCUAAUACCGCAUACGUCCUACGGGAGAAAGCAGGGGACCUUCGGGCCUUGCGCUAUCAGAUGAGCCUAGGUCGGAUUAGCUAGUUGGUGAGGUAAUGGCUCACCAAGGCGACGAUCCGUAACUGGUCUGAGAGGAUGAUCAGUCACACUGGAACUGAGACACGGUCCAGACUCCUACGGGAGGCAGCAGUGGGGAAUAUUGGACAAUGGGCGAAAGCCUGAUCCAGCCAUGCCGCGUGUGUGAAGAAGGUCUUCGGAUUGUAAAGCACUUUAAGUUGGGAGGAAGGGCAGUAAAUUAAUACUUUGCUGUUUUGACGUUACCGACAGAAUAAGCACCGGCUAACUCUGUGCCAGCAGCCGCGGUAAUACAGAGGGUGCAAGCGUUAAUCGGAAUUACUGGGCGUAAAGCGCGCGUAGGUGGUUUGUUAAGUUGGAUGUGAAAUCCCCGGGCUCAACCUGGGAACUGCAUUCAAAACUGACUGACUAGAGUAUGGUAGAGGGUGGUGGAAUUUCCUGUGUAGCGGUGAAAUGCGUAGAUAUAGGAAGGAACACCAGUGGCGAAGGCGACCACCUGGACUAAUACUGACACUGAGGUGCGAAAGCGUGGGGAGCAAACAGGGUUAGAUACCCUGGUAGUCCACGCCGUAAACGAUGUCAACUAGCCGUUGGAAGCCUUGAGCUUUUAGUGGCGCAGCUAACGCAUUAAGUUGACCGCCUGGGGAGUACGGCCGCAAGGUUAAAACUCAAAUGAAUUGACGGGGGCCCGCACAAGCGGUGGAGCAUGUGGUUUAAUUCGAAGCAACGCGAAGAACCUUACCAGGCCUUGACAUCCAAUGAACUUUCUAGAGAUAGAUUGGUGCCUUCGGGAACAUUGAGACAGGUGCUGCAUGGCUGUCGUCAGCUCGUGUCGUGAGAUGUUGGGUUAAGUCCCGUAACGAGCGCAACCCUUGUCCUUAGUUACCAGCACGUAAUGGUGGGCACUCUAAGGAGACUGCCGGUGACAAACCGGAGGAAGGUGGGGAUGACGUCAAGUCAUCAUGGCCCUUACGGCCUGGGCUACACACGUGCUACAAUGGUCGGUACAGAGGGUUGCCAAGCCGCGAGGUGGAGCUAAUCCCACAAAACCGAUCGUAGUCCGGAUCGCAGUCUGCAACUCGACUGCGUGAAGUCGGAAUCGCUAGUAAUCGCGAAUCAGAAUGUCGCGGUGAAUACGUUCCCGGGCCUU